rnacentral:lncRNA from 1 species
UCCCUUGAUAUAGUGCACUGGUUUAUGUUAUGCUGUAUCUACUAGUAGUUCUUUAGUUUUAUACUGAGUAGUAAAUAAUCCUUAUUGAAGUCUUUCAUCUGAUGUCUCUGUAGCCCCUCAGAUCCUAAAAUCUGGCUACACAAACUCAGAAUAUUUGAAGUCCUCUAUUAAGUCUAGGAUUUGUGAAUGUGAGGCUCCUCCCUUCUCUCAACAGAGGGCCUCAACCACUUGGACUCCCUCGUGGAAGAGCCUGUACCAGACUCACUGAAAUUGCACCUGUCCCUGCCCUUUCUUUAAUCCUGACUCAUAAGCUCUUAGUUGACUCCUCAUCCAUCACCAGGCAAAGCUCCAUGCAUUCCAGCUGGACACUGGCAUAGAGUGCAAAUACUGCCUCCUCAUCUGCCUUGUCUGCCCUUCCUAAAAAGCCUUUAUCCUUCCAUUGCAACACUUCAGUUAUAGGAGUCAUUCUGCUGUGUCCCUGUGAUGCCAAUAAUAUCAUAGCCAUGCAGGCAUGCACCUAUCUCCCAACUCCUCCUGUAUAUUCCCCAUGCUGCAUGCAUUUGCAGAGAGCCAUUUAAAUUGAGUUCCCAAAAAAAGCACAUUUAUUAGCUGAAAUUCCUUUGUGCUGUCUUUCAGGUGCUAUACUGCCUUUCUGCAGUCCUAAAUACUGUCUAAGCCAUUGAUUUUCAUCAUGCAUUUUGCAGAUGCGUAAAUUCCUCAUGAAGACUGUAUCUAACAAGUGUUCAAAAUGGUAAUAGAAAACGUUUAUAGUCUGAGAUUUCCUAUGUGUACUUCUUACAGCAUUUCAGUAUUCAUUUCAUGCAUAUGAUCUCACUUUUUAAGUAUAACAGGAAGAUGUUUUCAUACUUAUUGUUUUGUUUGUGAUUUCACAAAGCAAACUACACUGACAAAAUGAAAUGUGACAUUUGGUUUAUGCACAAUGGAAGGAAUGAUGAAAUAUAGUCACAUUCUUUGCAACUGAAAAAGUAAAACUAACUUAUUACAGCACCAUAAAAGAAUUCAGCCUUUAAAAAUUAAGCAAAAUAAAUGAUAAUAAUAAUAGCAGUAAUAAUAAACCUUCAAUUUUCUGCAUCUUGAAAGUCUAUUGUAAGACUCAUGUCUUAAAAGAUAGUAUGAGUAUGUAUAUGUAUGCACAUGUAUAAUAAUACACAGAUAUACAUACUUCUAUAUAUAGUAAAUAUUUAUACAUUUAUUCAAAUAAUAUUCAUGCCCUUAUACUAUUACUUAGUGGCAGUGAUGGCUGUGAGUUCCUGUAUUCCACACAUCAAUAACUUUCAAAGUAUUUGUACAUUAGGCUUGAAAUAGCUUGUAUACAUUUUAAAAACCCAUAUAGUUCAUAUAGGGACAUAAAAAUUCUAAACCACUUAUUUUGCCUAUCCACUUUAAGUAAAUACUUCAGUCUAAAUACAAGCUUGAUCAUUUUAUCCUUACAUUGUUACCUUGACAUUGUAGAACAAGGUUUAAUGCAAUGUAACUGACUUAAGAAUAUUUAAAAAUUGCAAGUGAAAGAGUACUAUUGCUUCAUGUUUUGCUCACUACUUUCCAAUUGGCUGAAAACCAGUCAGCCCACAAAAAAGAAAGCAGGGGAUAAAAAAAUUAGUCAUGUUAACAAGUGUCAUGUAUUAAAUUAGCUGGUUAUAUUAAAAGAGACUAUAUUUCAAUGUGUAAAUUCUUGCCCGUUGCACCAAUCCACACUGAAAAGCCACACUGUAGCAUAUAGGUUCAUAUCUCAGUAAGAUACUGUUUAUUUGUUGGACUCAACAAAUAAGAGGAGUUUUCCAAUCUAGCUGAUUCUGUGAUUCUCUGAGCAAAAUUAUGUAUGCCACAUAAAGAUAGAAAAGUUGAUUUACUCCUUUGGACAAAUUCAGAUAUUGCUGGCAUCUCUCAUCACUGCAAGCAACUGAACUGGGUUUGCAUGGCAAUGUUUCAGUGUGGGGCAGAUACAGGGGUGGCUUCUCUGAGGAGCUGCCAGAAACUUCCCCCUGGUCUGAUGGUGUCAGUGCCAGCUAGCUCCAGGAUGAUCCACUGCUGGCCAAGGCUGAGCCCAUCAGUGACAGUGAUAGAACAUCUGAGAUAACAACUAAGAUGAGGGGGAAAAAAAUGAACUGGGCAAAUCCAGACAGAAAAAAAGUGUGAGGAUAGCAAGAGAAACAGCUCUGUAGACACCAAAAUCAGUACAGGAGAGGAUGGAGGUGCUGUAGGCACGAGAGCAAGAUUCCCCUGCAGCCUGUGGUGAGGCAGCUGCGUCCCUGCAGCCCAUGGAGGUCCAUGGUGG